rnacentral:tRNA from 1 species
GGGGUUGUAGCUCAGUGGUAGAGCACUUCCCUAGCACAUAUGAGGAACUGGGUUUGAUUCUCAGCUCCA